CAAUGUGGGCGGAGUCAAACACGUUUAACCAGAACCCUUCCCGUCUCCUUCAAGGUCACCCAAGUUGAGGUAAACGUCGAAGGUAUCAACGUCAAUGAAAGCCAAUCUUAAUCGAACCUAACCUACAUGGAUAAAAAUAUAAACCAUGGAAUAUGUUCUAUACAUUGAAAUGGAAGCACAGUGUGAUUUCCCUGAGGAAAACAUGCAGCACAUUAGGCGAUGGUGGUGCAUAGUUCUCCUGCAGAACUUUCUCAUGCCGUAAGUCUUGAACAUUAUAAAAGGAACAGGAACAGAUGAUACUGAAAACAAAAUGCAUGACAAACUGGGAGCUGUGAACUGGGAAGCAGAUGUUCUUCUCAUGGACAGCCUAGAGGCAGCAAGGUGGUGCGAACGCCAAACAUUUAAAGGCACCAUUUCCCUCCCAGGUGUAAUUGGUAUGGACGGGGAAGACCGUAUUACACCUCUUAAAGAACUACGGUUGUAUGAUUGCCUGGAUGAAGAGGAACAUAUUCUCCUCAAGGAACCAUUCAUGUUCUCAUUCCAGUUAGAGAGAUGAGAUGUUCCAUGUGGAGGCAGUUGACAAGAAAAUGACUGUCUGCCACUUCUGAGGAGCAGGAGUGAAGCCAUUUUUGAGGAGUGUCAAACCUUGUUUUUGUCUGCUGUGUAAAUUGUGUUAUGUUGUUUAGUAAAGACGUAGAAGUCA